rnacentral:rRNA from 1 species
UUUUUAGCAUGGGAAUAAUGCAAUAGGACGUGCGGUUCUAUUUUGUUGGUUUCUAGGACCGCCGUAAUGAUUAAUAGGGAUAGUCGGGGGCGUCAGUAUUCAGCUGUCAGAGGUGAAAUUCUUGGAUUUGCUGAAGACUAACUACUGCGAAAGCAUUCGCCAAGGAUGUUUUCAUUAAUCAGGGAACGAAAGUUAGGGGAUCGAAGACGAUCAGAUACCGUCGUAGUCUUAACCAUAAACUAUGCCGACUAGGGAUCGGACGGUGUUUCUAUUAUGACCCGUUCGGCACCUUACGAGAAAUCAAAGUUUUUGGGUUUUGGGGGGAGUAUGGUCGCAAGCUG